rnacentral:rRNA from 1 species
AGGGUGUAAACGCUGCAGACUUGGUGUUGGGAACCCUUCGGGGGUGCUCAGUGCCGGAGAGAAGUUGUUAAGUCUGCUACUUGGGGAGUACGUCCGCAAGGAUGAAACUUAAAGGAAUUGGCGGGGGAGCACCGCAACGGGAGGAGCGUGCGGUUUAAUUGGAUUCAACGCCGAAAAACUCACCAGCAGCGACUGUUACAUGAAAGUCAGGUUGAUGACCUUACUAGAUGAUCUGAGAGGUGGUGCAUGGCGUCAGUGACU